UGAUCUCAAAUCAGGCAAGACUACCCGCUGAACUUAAGCAUAUCAAUAAGCGGAGGAA
rnacentral:rRNA from 1 species